UACGUAGGGACCAAGCGUUGUUCGGAUUUACUGGGCGUAAAGGGCGCGUAGGCGGCAUGACAAGUCACUUGUGAAAUCUCUGGGCUUAACCCAGAACGGCCAAGUGAUACUGUCACGCUAGAGUGCGGAAGGGGCAAUCGGAAUUCCUGGUGUAGCGGUGAAAUGCGCAGAUAUCAGGAAGAACACCCGUGGCUAAGGCGGCUCUCUAGUACGGUACUGACGCUGAGACGCGAAAGCGUGGGGAGCGAACAGG
rnacentral:rRNA from 1 species